AGUCUCGCCGCACGUUGUGUCCUCCAAGGAGAUGGAAGCUGCUAUUCAACGAGGAGGGUUGCCUAGACGCAGCUGGAAUGAUCAUGAGAGUACAGCGUGGGGGUAUCCACCCAAAUAUCAAAGGGGAAGUAUAUAUGGGAGUUUUUUCUGGGUUGUUACGACCCGAAAAGCACUACUGAACAGAGGAACCAGUUGCGGCAACAGAGAAGGCAUCCAAUGUUAGGAAAGAGAGGAGAUGGUCUUCGUCAGUUGCACUGAAGCAUGGGAAGGAUGCAGGUGAAGCGUGGAGAAGGACACCGACGUUGUCGAGGUUGUUAUAGCAGCGACACUCGAGAACGCUCAAGGGAAGAGUAGAUGCGCCUGUGUGGCUGGGUGACUCUGACCACUGUUAAUCACAUGAUUGUAAAGGAAUAUGCGAAGCUGAUGAGACUAGAGCUAAAGUUCUUUCUCUUGGAUUCCUCAGUUAGGUACAUCAUUUCUUCAAUUGUCCACAUUUUAAACUGUAUAUUAUUGUCGUAAAUCAAGUGGAAUAUGUGUAUGCAAACUGUCAAACUAAAACUUGGAAACAAACAUCAUUGAUUACUAAUCGAUGAUGUAACUUUUGAAGGAAGUAACAAAUGGAAUGAUUUGUUGCCCAUGUACAUUUGGUAAUUUUCUUUGAUAGUUUUUGUUGUUUAUGUAUAGAAAAAAAAUCAUUGGUAGAGAGGAAUCUUUCUGAAAAUGUUUUCUCGGUAAUGAAAUGGGGAGAAAAUGUUUCUCAAAAUGCUCAUUUCAAUUUUUUAUGGCUGAAAUAUGGGAAAGGAUGGCGAGUCCAUGAUGCUUGGGGUUCUUUGCAAUUCAUUUUCUUCCAUUCCUAUGAUGUAGAUAUUUCUUCUGUGUCAACCUAAAGUAUUAUCCGCUUCUGAUAAAUGCAAAGGAAAAUCUGCAAGUUACCAUUUACCUUUACGCAUAUUUAUUCUGUUAGUGUGACUUAAACAUUCAAUAUACUUUGCCUAUUGACUAUGUUAGAGCUGAUCUGUGCGAGCUGUUAGCCUUUUGAUGAACACAUGGUGUUGAUUAUUUAGGACUGGAAUGUUCAGCCUCCCUGUAUGCCGACUACAUUUCUAAGACAUGAACCUAUUUUUGUACUAUGGUCAUCAUUUCUAAGAGUUGCUGAUGCACACUGCUAAUUGCUACAGUAGACACGCAGGCGCAGCUUGGUGCAUUCUUCUCUUCUUUCCCUUUAUAUUUUCUUUAUCCUUGUGCUUGUAAAUUUGUAACUCAAGAGGUCACAAACUUCUGCAAUAUGGAGGCAUCACUUUCAAACUGGUACAUAUGCAUGUAGCUGUUCAUGAAGCAUCAUUUUACUAAAGUGUCCAAUGUAUGUUCUCUUAUAAUCCAGGUGCUUGAUCAAGGCUGCGUAUGAGCUUAUUAACAUCGAUGGUGUGCUAAAUGUGAUCAUAAGGAACCUGGAAAAGGAGUAUGUCUCUUAAUGGACAUCUUUCUAUUUUGCAUUGAACUUUGAUUAAUUAUUUUACUGUACAUUUUC